rnacentral:rRNA from 1 species
CAGCCGCCGCGGUAAUACGGAGGGUGCAAGCGUUAAUCGGAAUUACUGGGCGUAAAGCGCACGCAGGCGGUUUGUUAAGUCAGAUGUGAAAUCCCCGAGCUUAACUUGGGAACUGCAUUUGAAACUGGCAAGCUAGAGUCUUGUAGAGGGGGGUAGAAUUCCAGGUGUAGCGGUGAAAUGCGUAGAGAUCUGGAGGAAUACCGGUGGCGAAGGCGGCCCCCUGGACAAAGACUGACGCUCAGGUGCGAAAGCGUGGGGAGCAAACAGGAUUAGAUACCCCUGUAGUCCCUGUCUCUUAUAA